AGACCAGGCAAGCAGCUCACGGCUGUUUACAAUGUGUAGUCUGUUCAGUGGCCGUAGCCGUCAACAGUGAGUUAUUUUAAGCCAAGAGAGGGGGGCUGUAAAUCGGGAAGAGGGGACAGUGAGUUUGCAGUGUGUUCAGCAACUGUUUUCAUAAUUCUGAGCCAAUAAAGUGUGUUCAGUCGGGCAGAGAGGACGGCAAGAUAGUGUUAUUUUUAGUGGCUUCUGU